rnacentral:rRNA from 1 species
GAUGAACGCUAGCGGCAGGCUUAACACAUGCAAGUCGAGGGGCAGCGAGAGAGUAGCAAUACUUUUUGUUCGGCGACCGGCGCAAAGGGUGCGUAACGCGUGAGCAACAUGCCCGUAACAGGCGGAUAGACCGUGGAAACGCGGCGUAAACCGCCAUAAGUUAGGAACAGGCAUCUGUUUCGAAUGAAAAUCUUCGGAGGUUACGGAUUGGCUCGCGAGACAUUAGCCAGUUGGCGGGGUAACGGCCCACCAAAAGCUACGAUGUCUAGGGGUUCUGAGAGGAAGGUCCCCCACACUGGAACUGAGACACGGUCCAGACUCCUACGGGAGGCAGCAGUGAGGAAUAUUGGACAAUGGAUGGAAAUCUGAUCCAGCCAAUGCCGCGUGCAGGAAGAACGGUCCUAUGGAUUGUAAAACUGCUUUUAGCAUGGGAGCAAUAAGGUGUACGCGUACACCGAUGAGAGUACCAAUGAGAAUAAGCACCGGCU